rnacentral:lncRNA from 1 species
GGCUAGAGUUUUCAAAACCAAUGAUAAGUUUGGGCCAAUCACGAUGAAGACAGAAAAUGAACUUAGAGAUCUGGCUUGAGGUUAUUGACCUGUUAGAGUAACCAGAGCUGUCCACUGCAAAUGCGAAGAAUUACCUGUGCUUGGUAGAAAAUAAAGACCAUCCAGAGGCAGCGACUCAGCUUCCCUCUCUGCUGGGUUGGGAGCGUGGAGGCCCAGCGCACCAUCAUUUCUGUCUCCACCCGUGGUGCGGCUCGCAGUGUCCUCCGUGUGCUCCGUCAGCCGCCCGUCGACGUCUCGAACGGGCUCUAGCUUCCCUCUGUCCCUGAAUACCACACGUGCUUCCUGCCGAGGCUCUGGUGAGCCGCACACCUCGACCCAGGCUGCGCCGAGCUGUGCGUCCUGCCGAGGUUCGCACCCGUUCUCGGCUGUAACAGCUCUCCCCCGGGGGCUCCUCUAACUGUGCCUGUGGGCUGCACUCUCUGCUCUCACUUUCACAGCAUCUCGGGCUUCUCUGUAGACUGUAUCACAAUUCAGAAUUUCGAUGUGACUGUUUAUCUGAAUACUUCAACAUGCGUGGGCUCUUGAGGAAAAAUGCUUUGUCUCUUAUCAAUUCUUCACAUUCUACGCAUUUGCUAGAGUUGAUGCUUAAGAAGUGGCAAUAGUUCUGGUCAUUUCGAACACACGCUUAUUAGGCCAAGACUUUAAAUAUUCCUGUUAUCCUUCGGCUAUAAGGGGCUCAUACAGGCAUGAAGAUAGCGUGUUAAUCCUUUCAAGUAUGUAAUUCCCAGAGCCUGCGUGGAAAAUGGUUCCCUUCUUGUAUGUCAAUAACCAUCUAGGAGCAUUAGCCAUCUAGAAUGCCUUCUCGAGACAGAAUCUGAGGCUGAAGACAGGUUUAGCAAAAAGAAUAAUGAGUCAGAUGAAUUUUCCCUGCUAGAAAAAAGGGAUUUGGGAGAGUCCAACCACUGAUUUUUCACAUUUGGCAUCUUUGGCUGAGAAAAAUUAUAUGAUUAAGGGCUGAGGGUAUAACUCAGUGGUAGAAAGCAUGCCUGGUUAUGCAAGCCACUGUAAAAACAAAC